CCCUUAGAUGUUCUGGGCCGCACGCGUGCUACACUGAGUGGAUCAGCGGGUCAGGUUGCGCGAAAGCGUUUCCUAAUCUUUAAAUCCGCUCGUGAUGGGGAUUGACGGUUGCAAUUUUCUGUCAUGAACGAGGAAUACCUUGUAAGCGCGGGUCAUCAUCCCGCGCUGAAUACGUCCCUGCCCUUUGUACACACCGCCCGUCGCUUCUACCGAUUGAGUGGUCCGGUGAGGCUUUGGGAUCUGAGCGGAAAGAGCGUUUCGCUGUUUCUGCUCGGAAAACUCAGUCGAACCUUAUCAUUUAGAGGAAGGAGAAGUCGUAACA
rnacentral:rRNA from 1 species